rnacentral:rRNA from 1 species
CAGCAGCCGCGGUAAUACGGAGGGGGCUAGCGUUGUUCGGAAUUACUGGGCGUAAAGCGCGCGCAGGCGGUCUUCCAAGUCWGUGGUGAAAGCCCGGAGCUCAACUCCGGAGCUGCCAUUGAAACUGUAAGACUUGAGGAUSAGAGAGGUGAGUGGAAUUCCCAGUGUAGAGGUGAAAUUCGUWGAUAUCGGGAGGAACCCCAGUGGCGAAGGCSACUUCMUGGCCUGUUCUUGACGCUGAGGCGCGAAAGCUCGGGGAGCANNNNNGAUUAGAUACCCCGGUAGUCCUAGCCGUAAACGAUGANUGCUAGACGNUGGGGAGCUUAGSUCUUCAGUGUCGCAGCUAACGCAUUAAGCAUUCCGCCUGGGGAGUACGGCCGCAAGGUUAAAACUCAAAGGAAUUGACGG